UGUAAAUCGACGACCACAUUCCUACACAUUUAAGAAGAACAUUACUUGCUUAAUGACAGUUGAGAAAAUAAUAACAUCGUAAAAUUGAUACCAAUAACAUGGAUGAGAUAUUCAAAUGACGUUGUUGCAACUAAGGCUUUGAUAAAAAUUCAAGAGAAGUUUUUAAGUUUUGUCAGGGAUCCAAAGCCACAAUACCAAAGGCAUGAAGUGAAGCCAAUUGAUAAUCUAUGAAGCACGGAAACGGCA
rnacentral:misc_RNA from 1 species